rnacentral:rRNA from 1 species
GACGAAGGUGGCGAGCGUUGUUCGGAAUCACUGGGCAUAAAGCGCACGUAGGCGGUGCCGUAAGUCGGAUGUGAAAUCCCUCGGCCUAACCGAGGAACUGCGUCCGAUACUGCGGUGCUUGAGGAUCAGAGGGGUGCAUGGAAUUUCCGGUGGAGCGGUGAAAUGCGUUGAUAUCGGAAGGAACUCCGGCGGCGAAAGCGAUGCACUGGCUGAUCUCUGACGCUGAGGUGCGAAAGCCAGGGGAGCAAACGGG